GAUGAACGCUAGCGGCAGGCCUAACACAUGCAAGUCGAGGGGCAGCACAGAAACAGCAAUGUUUUGGUGGCGACCGGCGGACGGGUGCGUAACGCGUAUGCAACCUACCUUUAACAGGGGGAUAACGGAGAGAAAUUUCCACUAAUACCCCAUAACAUCGAUCAAGGCAUCUUGAUUGGUUGAAAACUCCGGUGGUUAAAGAUGGGCAUGCGUUGUAUUAGGUAGUUGGUGAGGUAAUGGCCCACCAAGCCUACGAUACAUAGGGGGACUGAGAGGUUAGCCCCCCACACUGGUACUGAGACACGGACCAGACUCCUACUGGAGGCAGCAGUGAGGAAUAAUGGACAAUGGGGGCAACCCUGAACCAGCCAUGCCGCGUGCAGGAAGACGGCUCUAUGAGUUGUAAACUGCUUUUAAACAGGGAUAAAGCACAGUAUGUAUACUGUGUUGAAGGUACUGUAAGAAUAAGGAUCGGCUAACUCCGUGCCAGCCGCCGCGGUAA
rnacentral:rRNA from 1 species